rnacentral:rRNA from 1 species
AGCAGCCGCGGUAAUUCCAGCUCCAAUAGCGUAUAUUAAAGUUGCUGCAGUUAAAAAGCUCGUAGUUGAAUUUCGGGAUCAAUAUGUUGGUCGUGCCUCGGUACGUACUAGCUUAUUGGUUUCUCCCUUCUGACGAACCAUGAUGUCAUUUAUUUGGUGUANGGGAAAUGCAGGACUGUUACUUUGAAAAAAUUAGAGUGUUUAAAGCAGGCUCACGCUUGAAUACAUUAGCAUGGAAUAAUGAAAUAGGACGUUUGAUUCUAUUUUGUUGGUUUCUAGGAUCGACGUAAUGAUUAAUAGGGAUAGUUGGGGGCAUUAGUAUUCAAUUGUCAGAGGUGAAAUUCUUGGAUUUAUUGAAGACUAACUACUGCGAAAGCAUUUGCCAAGGAUGUUUUCAUUAAUCAAGAACGAAAGUUAGGGGAUCGAAGACGAUCAGAUACCGUCGUAGUCUUAACCAUAAACUAUGCCGACUAGGGAUCGGAUGAUGUUAAUUUUUUAAUGACUCAUUCGGUGCCUUACG